rnacentral:rRNA from 1 species
UUGGAGGGCAAGUCUGGUGCCAGCAGCCGCGGUAAUUCCAGCUCCAAUAGCGUAUAUUAAAGUUGUUGCAGUUAAAAAGCUCGUAGUUGAAUUUCGGGGUUAGUAGGUUGGUCAUGCCUCUGGUAUGUACUGGUCUCACUGAUUCCUCCUUCCUGAUGAGCCGUAAUGCCAUUAAUUUGGUGUUGCGGGGAAUUUGGACUGUUACUUUGAAAAAAUUAGAGUGUUUAAAGCAAGCUAACGCUUGAAUACAUUAGCAUGGAAUAAUGAAAUAGGACGUUCGAUCCUAUUUUGUUGGUUUCUAGGAUUGACGUAAUGAUUAAUAGGGAUAGUUGGGGGCAUUAGUAUUCAAUUGUCAGAGGUGAAAUUCUUGGAUUUAUUGAAGACUAACUACUGCGAAAGCAUUUGCCAAGGAUGUUUUCAUUAAUCAAGAACGAAAGUUAGGGGAUCGAAGACGAUCAGAUACCGUCGUAGUCUUAACCAUAAACUAUGCCGACUAGGGAUCGGAUGAUGUUAAUUUUUUAAUGACUCAUUCGGCGCCUUACGGGAAAAAGCCGA